rnacentral:rRNA from 1 species
UCUUGAGAGUGGCGAACGGGUGAGUAACACGUAGGUGAUCUACCGCAGGGGUUGGGGAUGGCCCAUGGAAACAUGGGGUAAUACCGAAUACGCUCAUUUGGCUGUGGCCGGAUGAGGAAAGGCGCUUCGGCGCCGCCCUGCGAUGAGCCUGCGCCCCAUUAGCUAGUUGGUAGGGUAACGGCCUACCAAGGCGACGAUGGGUAGCCGGCCUGAGAGGGUGAUCGGNCACACUGGGACUGAGAUACGGCCCAGACUCCUACGGUAUGCAGCAGCUAAAGAAUCUUCCGCAAUGGACGAAAGUCUUGACGGAGCGACGCCGCGUGGGUGAAGACGGCCGGAAGGUUGUCAAGCCCUUUUCUCGUUGAGGAAUAAGCCACGGAGGGGAAAUGCCUGUGGGAUGACGGUAGGCGAGGAAUAAGUCCCGGGCAAUUACGUGCCAGCAGCAGCGGUAACAGGUAUGGGACGAGCGUUGUUCGGAAUCAUUGGGCGUAAAGGGCGCGUAAGCGGCGAGGUAAAGCCUGGUGUUGAAAGACCGCAGGUAAAUGGCAGAACCGCGCUAGGAAUUGUUUGCUUGAGUACAAGAGGGGGGAACUGGAAUUACAAGGUGUUGGGGUGAAAUCUGUAGAUAUGUGGAAGAACAGCGGGUGAGAAGGGGAGCUCCUGGUCAUGAAACGGACGCUGAGGCGCGAAAGCGUGGGGAGCGAACAGGAUUAGAUACCCUGGGUUAGUCCACGCUGUAAACGAUGUGCACUAGGUGUUGGGCCACGAAGGUUCAGUGCCGGAGUCAACGCGUUUAAGUGCACCGCCUGGGGAGUAUGCUCGCAAGGGUGAAACUCAAAGGAAUUGACGGGGGCCCGCACAAGCGGUGGAGCAUGUGGUUUAAUUCGAUGAUACGCGAGAAACCUUACCAGGGCUUGACAUAUGCCGGAGUGUGCAGGAGACUGCGCAGCCCUUCGGGGCCGGUAUACAGGUGCUGCAUGGCCGUCGUCAGCUCGUGCCGUGAGGUGUUGGGUUAAGUCCCGCAACGAGCGCAACCCCUACCGUCUGUCUGCCAGCAUUGAGUUGGGGACUCAGGCGGAACUGCCGGUGACAAACCGGAGGAAGGUGGGGACGACGUCAGGUCAUCAUGGCCCUUAUGUCCUGGGCUACACACGUGCUACAAUGGCCGAUACAGAGCGAAGCAACACCGCGAGGUAGAGCAAAUCGCAGAAAGCCGGUCUCAGUUCGGAUUGGAGUCUGAAACCCGACUCCAUGAAGUUGGAAUCGCUAGUAAUCGCGCAUC